ACGGGAGGCAGCAGUGGGGAAUAUUGCACAAUGGGCGCAAGCCUGAUGCAGCAACGCCGCGUGAGGGAAGACGGUUUUCGGAUUGUAAACUUCUUUUAUGUAGGACGAAGAAAGUGACGGUACUACAUGAAUAAGCCACGGCUAACUACGUGCCAGCAGCCGCGGUAAUACGUAGGUGGCAAGCGUUAUCCGGAUUUACUGGGUGUAAAGGGCGCGUAGGCGGGGAUGCAAGUCAGAUGUGAAAUCCAUGGGCUCAACCCAUGAACUGCAUUUGAAACUGUAUCUCUUGAGUGCUGGAGAGGUAGAUGGAAUUCCUAGUGUAGCGGUGAAAUGCGUAGAUAUUAGGAAGAACACCAGUGGCGAAGGCGAUCUACUGGACAGUAACUGACGCUGAGGCGCGAAAGCGUGGGGAGCAAACAGGAUUAGAUACCCUGGUA
rnacentral:rRNA from 1 species